AGUUGGGAUGGUAGGCUCCGUGCUGUUGCAUCGAACUACUAGACCGCAUCCUCUUCAUGGCUCAAGCAUUGGUUUACUUUUGCUUGUGACUCGGUGGCGUGUUCCUGUAUUUGAUACCCAUGUCGGUGGAACUUCGUUUCUGNNUUGCCUCAUUCCUCUUGGUGCCUCUAUGGGGCAUCGGGUGGAGCACGUAGCUCGAUCCGCCAACCCUGGCACGCCGAUUAGGCUGCGAUGGUUGUUGAAUCUAGGCUGUGCUCUCGGAUGCAGAAAAUUUAAUGGGUCCAAGGAUUGAAUCCUUGUUUAUUUGCCCUAUGCGGGAUAUCGUCCCUCGGUGCGAACGACAUCCUUUGCUCGCCACGAUUCAUCCGACGCUCGCUCGGGCUGAGGAUGUUUUGUGCGUGCAUCGGUGUCUUUUUAAGGAAUGCUACCUGGUUGAUCCUGCCAGUAGUCAUAUGCUUGUCUCAAAGAUUAAGCCAUGCAUGUGA
rnacentral:misc_RNA from 1 species